UCCCUAGUAGCUCAGCUGGUAAAGAAUCCACCUGCAAUGUGGGAGGCCUGGGUUCAACCCCUGGGUUGGGAA
rfam:TPA: Bos taurus chromosome 10, whole genome shotgun sequence.